rnacentral:rRNA from 1 species
UACGUAGGUGGCAAGCGUUGUCCGGAUUUAUUGGGUUUAAAGGGUGCGUAGGUGGCCCUGUAAGUCAGUGGUGAAAUAUCUCAGCUUAACUGAGAGGGUGCCAUUGAUACUGCAGGGCUUGAGUACAGAUGAGGUAGGCGGAAUUGACGGUGUAGCGGUGAAAUGCAUAGAUAUCUGGAGGAACACCGGUGGCGAAGGCGGCGUUCUGGACUGCAACUGACACUGAUGAACGAAAGCCAGGGGAGCAAACGGG